UGUCGUCCAGCUCGUGUCGUGAGAUGUUGGGUUAAGUCCCGCAACGAGCGCAACCCUCGCCUUUAGUUGCCACCAUUCAGUUGGGCACUCUAAGGAGACUGCCGGUGUUAAACCGGAGGAAGGUGGGGAUGACGUCAAGUCCUCAUGGCCCUUAUAUCCAGGGCUACACACGUCAUACAAUGGCCGGUACAAAGGGCAGCCAACCCGCGAGGGGGAGCCAAUCCCGUAAAGCCGGUCGUAGUCCGGAUCGCAGUCUGCAACUCGACUGCGUGAAGUCGGAAUCGCUAGUAAUCGUGGAUCAGCAUGUCACGGUGAAUACGUUCCCGGGUCUU
rnacentral:rRNA from 1 species